rnacentral:lncRNA from 1 species
AUGAAUUUACCCCUCUUAUACUACUUUGAAAAGUGUUUGAUUAAUCUCUUUCUUUAAUUGGUUUACCCGUUUGAAAUCAUAAUCCCUAAAUUGGAGGGGAACCUUGUGUAAUUGAUUUUCAAACUAUUUUCUUACCAAUUUCUGCUUGCUUUCUACACUAUAAAAGGGCACGACACUUCUGCACUUUCAGAACACAUAUUACACACUUUAGACACUUAUAAUCUCAUAGUUCUCUUCUGAACUCAUAGCCUUCUGACUACUUGUUUGUACUUUGGCAUUACAAGACUACUGCUUUCUUCUUGAUUGUUUCCUUGAAACUGGUAUGUUCUAGUUCUGAUUUCAGCAUCAUCUCAAUGUGUUUGUUUGCAGCCUUUACACCCAUGUCUACUUUACUGUCUGUGUGGACUUAUAUGUUAACUAACAUGUUAAUUUCCUUGCAUCUGUUUGUGUUGUGUAUCCCUACCCCUUGUUCCCCUUUAUUUGCUUUGAGUUGAAGUUCAGAACAUGGCAACAUGCAAGUUGUUGUUCAUGUUUGGACUUGAUCCCUUAGGGGAUCCUAACUCCCAAAUAAUGUGGCCUAACAGGCUGGUGGGGUGUGCCAGCAUUUCCAAUUGCUAGGUAUGACCACUAGCCUAUCCUUGCCUCUUCUCAGAAUCCCCUCUCUGCACUUACACUCUCUCUUAGAUUCUAGGUUCUUCCCCCCUCUUGUGAGCCUUGCCUUGAGA